GGGGAUAUAGCUCAGUUGGUAGAGUGCUUGCCUCACAUGCAUAAGGCCCUGGGUUCAAUCCCCAGCAUCACAA
rnacentral:tRNA from 1 species